ensembl:snoRNA
AGCACUAUAUUUAAACCUGUGGAUGGGAAUUUUCCCCAUCCUUGGUUACGCUGUAGUGCAAAAGAAUUCCUGGCUCUUCCUGUUGCACAGCUGACUUCUACCAUUUUGCUGUUGCUUUAAGGAGUUAAGGAACAUGA